CAACCUAUCUACCUAGCAAACUCUCUCCAUUUCCAACUCUCCUUGUUGCCUUCUUCAUCAGCGUCACCACUCGUUCUUGUUCUGUAAAUGAGUCAAAAUCUGCUAUGGGUAGCAGUACAAGCCGCCUGCUCCAUGUAUUUUUCUUUCCCUUUAUGGCCCCUGGCCAUAUGAUACCAAUGUUAGACAUGGCCAAGCUAUUCACAACCCGAGGUGUCAAAGCAACCAUAAUCACCACCCCGCUCAACGUCCCUAUAGUUGCGAAAACGAUUGAAAGAACCAAAACUCGCGGCAAUAUCGUCGUCAAGAUUGAUAUCCAAACCAUUGAGUUCCCGGCAGUAGAGGCCGGCCUCCCAGAAGGGUGCGAGACUACUAACUCCAGGACUACCCAUCAAAAGAUGUUCACUUUCAUCAGUUCCCUUAAGAUGCUCCGGCAACCACUCGAGCAGCUACUGCAAAAUCAUGAUCAUCCUCAUUGCAUUGUUGCUGACAUGGUCUUUCCAUGGACAAUUGAUGCUGCCGCUAAAUUUGGUAUCCCAGUGCUUGUUUUUAAUGUAACCAGUGUUUUUUUCGCGUCCGCAGUGGUGAGCAUCGGACAGUACAAGCCUGAAAUGGAAGUUUCAUCUGAUUCUGAACCAUUCGUCAUCCCUAACUUUCCUGGAGAGAUAAAGUUGACAAGGAUGAAACUGCCAAACUUCACUGGUAACAAAUACGUUAAAGCAUUCUUUUCCGACCUCAUGAAAGAAGUUGGAGAAUACGAGGUGAGGAGCUAUGGGGUUAUUUUGAACAGCUUCUACGAGCUCGAGCCAGCUUAUGCAAAUCAUUACACAAGGGUUUGCGGAAGAAAGGCAUGGUAUAUAGGCCCAGUUUCACCCUGCAACAAGGAUGCUGAAGACAAAGGUCAAAGGGGAAAAGAAUCCUCCAUUGAUAAACAUGAAUGCAUGAAUUGGCUUAACACAAAGCAUAUUAAUUCAGUUGUUUAUAUAUGUUUCGGAAGCUUGUCUAACUUCCGUGAUUCUCAGCUAAUGGAGAUUGCAAUGGGUCUUGAUGCUUCUGGGCAGCAAUUCAUCUGGGUUGUGAGGAAAGACAAAAAUGAAAAAGAAGAUGAAGAUUGGUUACCCAUGGGAUUUGAGAAGAGAAUGGAAGGUAAGGGACUGAUUAUAAGAGGUUGGGCACCCCAAGCUUUAAUUUUGGAUCAUGAAGCAGUGGGAGGAUUUGUGACACAUUGUGGGUGGAACUCGGCAUUAGAAGGAGUGACUGCCGGGCUGCCUAUGGUGACAUGGCCAUUGUUUGCUGAGCAAUUUUUCAACGAGAAGUUACUGACCGAGGUAUUGAAGAUUGGGGUUCCUGUUGGUGCUCAGCAAUGUGUUGAAUUUAGUGGGAAUGAUAAUCCUAUAAAGAAGGAAGCAAUAGAGAAGGCAGUGAGGCAAAUCAUGGAAGGUGAAGAAGCAAAGGAAAGGAGAAGCAGAGCCAAAGAACUUGGGGAGAUGGCAAGGAGAGCCAUUGAAGAAGGUGGAUCAUCUUAUUACCAUUUGAAUGCUUUAAUUGAAGAGUUAAAGGCCCUCCACAGUUAAGUCUGUUGGAAUGAAUGGAUAUGGAUUUUUUCACUGUUCUAGUCGCCCAUUCGAUGGGGGAAUUUUGUUUGCGGUUGGAAGACGAAUCGAGUCGGUGGUAGUCCCACUGGCGCUGUUACGGCGGUUCAAGCUCUCAGAGUACUUCACUGAUCAACAAGAAUAUGACGCGUGCCAAAAGAGAACCCUAAAAGUCCUCUAGGCUGGUCUCCUCUUGCAUCCCCGCUUGUCACUGGAUAAUUGGUCAUAUUCUACUGCACGGCGACUGCGGCAAAUUAUUCAAGAUGCCUUCGAUAGACCCAUUGAAACUGGGAAGAACAAUGGAUCUAUUCAAGUACUUCGUAAUGCUGUUAUGGCUCUUCCCCCCUUCAUUUCUCUGCCAAUAAUGCAUAUACAUUUUCUUCUAUUCGAAUCAUUAACUAAAAAGACUACAAAAUAUAAUAAAAAAAAUUAAAUUUAUAGGCUUA